rnacentral:rRNA from 1 species
UACAGAGGGGGCAAGCGUUGUUCGGAAUUACUGGGCGUAAAGGGCGCGUAGGCGGCCUGCUAAGUCGAACGUGAAAUCCCCGAGCUCAACUCGGGAACUGCGUCCGAUACGGCAUGGCUUGAGUCCGGGAGAGGGGAGCAGAAUUCCCAGUGUAGCGGUGAAAUGCGUAGAUAUUGGGAGGAAUACCAGUGGCGAAGGCGGCAUCCUGGACCGGCAUUGACGCUGAGGCGCGAAAGCCAGGGGAGCAAACGGG